AAAAUGACUCUCGGCAACGGAUAUCUCGGCUCUCGCAUCGAUGAAGAACGUAGCGAAAUGCGAUACCUGGUGUGAAUUGCAGAAUCCCGUGAACCAUCGAGUCUUUGAACGCAAGUUGCGCCCGAGGCCCUUCGGCCGAGGGCACGCCUGCCUGGGCGUCACGC
rnacentral:rRNA from 1 species